rnacentral:rRNA from 1 species
GAGUUUGAUCAUGGCUCAGAUUGAACGCUGGCGGUAUGCUUAACACAUGCAAGUCGAACGGUAACAGGCCUUCGGGCGCUGACGAGUGGCGGACGGGUGAGUAACGCGUAGGAAUCUGCCUUAUAGUGGGGGACAACGUGGGGAAACCCACGCUAAUACCGCAUACGCCCUACGGGGGAAAGCGGGGGCUCGUAAGACCUCGCGCUAUGAGAUGAGCCUGCGUUAGAUUAGCUAGUUGGUAGGGUAAAGGCCUACCAAGGCGACGAUCUAUAGCUGGUCUGAGAGGACGAUCAGCCACACUGGGACUGAGACACGGCCCAGACUCCUACGGGAGGCAGCAGUGGGGAAUAUUGGACAAUGGGCGCAAGCCUGAUCCAGCAAUACCGCGUGUGUGAAGAAGGCCCUAGGGUUGUAAAGCACUUUCAAUGGGGAGGAAAACCUGCCGGUCAAUACCCGGUAGCUUGACAUUACCUAUAGAAGAAGCACCGGCUAACUCCGUGCCAGCAGCCGCGGUAAUACGGAGGGUGCGAGCGUUAAUCGGAAUUACUGGGCGUAAAGCGUGCGUAGGCGGCUCGUUAAGUCAGAUGUGAAAGCCCUGGGCUCAACCUGGGAACGGCAUUUGAAACUGGCGAGCUAGAGUUGAGUAGAGGGGAGUGGAAUUU